rnacentral:lncRNA from 1 species
GCUUCUUAGUAACGCGAUCAACAUCUUCCAAGAAAUAUUUGUCUUUCAAUGCAUGUGAAAAAACCUCCCAUGAAUUCCCAUAACGAUUCGUAAUCGAUGUAAUGUGGUCUCUUAUCUCCGGUAUCAUGCCAAGUCCAAAUAGUUCAACCAUUUUCUUCUCUGAAACCCAAUUUAAUUCCAUUUCAUGAACAUAACAUCUUAAAUACCUUGAAAUAUUCCUCCCAUCAAAUUGAUCAAUUUUAUUGACCACUGCUUGCAAUGCUUUGGUU